rnacentral:lncRNA from 1 species
GCUUGCUCUCUUUCCACCACAUGAGAACACAGUAAGAAGGUGGCCAUCUACAAGACAGGAAGAGGGCCCUCACCACGCUAGCUCCCCAGUCUCAGACUUUCAGGCUCCGGAACUGUGGGAAAAUGAAUUUCAAGUCUUUAAGCCUCCCAGUCUAUGGCAUUUUGUUAAGGUAGCUUGAGUUGACUAAUAACAGUAACCAUUUGUAGAGGGUUUAUCCCACGUUUACCUGGAGUAACAAAGAGAGAUACAUCCCUAAAGAAGUCAUUGCCAUGUCAUAGGAAAAUCUGUACCAGGAAUGUUCCCUGGGCAGACUGUUGAGAAACUUCAGACUGAGAUUUAGGGAGAAGAGAAGAACCUAGGAAUAAAGCCCAAGUCAAAUCUACAUUGUCUGAAUGGAAGAUUCUUGAAUUCAAGAAUGAGAACCUCAAACAGUAAGCAGCGAGGAAAACUAGAGAGCAGACGAAGCUCAUGGUUAAAACCCAGUCUUUUAUAGCUGACAGAUAUGGGUUUAAUCUCAGCUUUAUCAGUAACUGCGUAACUUUGAACAAGUAAAUUUACUUGGUUUUAGCUUUCUUAGCUCUAAAGUUAGGA